UACAGAGGGUGCGAGCGUUGUUCGGAAUUACUGGGCGUAAAGCGCGUGUAGGCGGUCUAAUAAGUCAGAUGUGAAAUCCCGGGGCCUAACUCCGGAAGUGCAUUUGAAACUGUUAGGCUGGAGUGAUGUAGAGGAUGGCGGAAUACCCAGUGUAGUGGUGAGAUACGUAGAGAUUGGGUAGAACACCGGUGGCGAAGGCGGCCAUCUGGGCAUUAACUGACGCUGAGACGCGAAAGCGUGGGGAGCAAACAGG
rnacentral:rRNA from 1 species